rnacentral:rRNA from 1 species
UACGGAGGGUGCGAGCGUUGUCCGGAAUCAUUGGGCGUAAAGGGUGCGUAGGCGGGUCUUUAAGUCAGGGGUGAAAUCCUGGAGCUCAACUCCAGAACUGCCUUUGAUACUGAGGAUCUUGAGUUCGGGAGAGGUGAGUGGAACUGCGAGUGUAGAGGUGAAAUUCGUAGAUAUUCGCAAGAACACCAGUGGCGAAGGCGGCUCACUGGCCCGAUACUGACGCUGAGGCACGAAAGCGUGGGGAGCAACCAGG